AUGCCAGCAAAUUUGGAAAACUCAGCAGUGCCCACAGGCCUGGAAAAGGUCAGUUUUCAUUGCAAUCCCAAAGAAAGGCAAUGCCAAAGAAUGCUCACACUACCCACAAUUGCACUCAUCUCACAUGCUAGUAAAGUAAUAGUCAAAAUUCUCCAAGCCAGGCUUCAGCAAUACAUAAACCAUGAAUUUCCUGAUGUUCAAGCUGGUUUUAGAAAAGGCAGAGAAACCAGAGGUCAAAUUGCCAACAUUCGCUGGAUCAUGGAAAAAGCAAGAGAGUUCCAGAAAAACAUCUCUUUCUGCUUUAUUGACUAUGCCAAAGCCUUUGACUGUGUGGAUCCCAAUAAACUGUGGAAAAUUCUGAAAGAGAUGGGAAUACCAGACCACCUGACCUGCCUCUUGAGAAAUCUGUAUGCAGGUCAGGAAGCAACAGUUAGAACUGGACAUGGAACAACAGACUGGUUCCAAAUAGGAAAAGGAGUAUGUCAAGGCUGCAUAUUGUCACCCUGUUUAUUUAACUUAUAUGCAGAAUAUAUCAUGAGAAAUGCUGGACUGGAAGAAGCGCAAGCUGGAAUCAAGAUUGCUGGGAGAAAUAUAAAUAACCUCAGAUAUGCAGAUGACACCACCCUUAUGGUAGAAAGGGAAGAGGAACUAAAAAGCCUCUUGAUGAAAGUGAAAGAAGAGAGUGAAAAAGUUGGCUUAAAGCUCAACAUUCAGAAAACGAAGAUCAUGGCAUCCGGUCCCAUCACUUCAUGGGAAAUAGAUGGGGAAACAGUGAAAACAGUGUCAGGCUUUAUCUUUUUGGGCUCCAAAAUCAGUGCAGAUGGUGACUGCAGCCAUGAAAUUAAAAGACGCUUACUCCUUGGAAGAAAAGUUAUGAUCAACCUAGAUAGCAUAUUCAAAGGCAGAGACAUUUCUUUGCCGACUAAGGUCUGUCUAGUCAAGGCUAUGGUUUUUCCAGUAGUUGUGUGUGGAUGUGAGAGUUGGACUGUGAAGAAGGCUGAGCGCUGA
rnacentral:lncRNA from 1 species